ensembl:lncRNA
CCGUUUUUUAAAUUUUGCUCGUCCGUUUUUUACCAUGAAAAAAAAAAAAGCCUUGUAUUUCAAUUUUUUAAAACGAAAAUCAAAUAGUCACUCUUUUUAGUUUUUUUAAUACUUGUUUCUAAAAGGAAAAUCGAAUGACCAAAAGAUACACGGGACCGGGUCCGUGUACUUUUGCGUCCAUUCGUUUUUCUUUUUUUAACCAUGACGAGAAAAAUAAAAUAUAAACGGUUGUUGUAUUUUAAGCAAAAAAAGUUACAUUCAAAAUUUUGAAUUAGAACUGUAUUCAGAACAUUCUACGAAAAAAAUGUAUAUUGACUUAUUUUCAGAUUUUUGUUUAUGACUUUUUGCACCUUUACUUUACAUUUAUAAAAUACACAAAUUAAUAUCGAAUAAAAGCGAAUUGUACUAGUUUUCUGAGGCCAAAUUAGUGACCCGGAAAUAUUUUUUCCCGCACCAUUGAAUGCGAAGCACCAUGUCUCUGGAACCGUACAGAGAAGUGAUUUUGGACAUGAUUUUAAAACACCACACACACAAGGACGUUGCUGAGCAUCUGUCUCAAAUUGGUGUUGGGCGAGGUUGUUCGGCGAGGACUGUUAGAAGAUUUUGUGCCAGUCAUGGUGUGAGACGGGAGGUUUCCGACACUCAGCUGGAGAUAGCUGUAUCGGCAGCAGUACAAGAAACAGGACCAACCUACGGUCGUAAAUUGAUGACCGGUUAUUUGACAUCAAAGGGAAUUCGAGCAGCAGAAAGUAGGGUUGGACGAGCCCUCCGGACAAUAAAUCGACCAUAUCAUGAAAUGCGAUGCAGUGGUGUACGGAAUCUUAAUCCCAUACCUUACUGUGCCACUUACACAGGCCACAAACUCCAUUUAGAUCAAAACGAAAAAUUGGUCAUGUUUGGAGCUACACAUGUCCUAGCAAUUGAUGGCUACAGCAGCAAGAUAAUGGCAUAUUCCUGUAUGCCAGUAAAGAAUAACCUCAUUAUCUAUGAUGAAGUGUACAGGCCUGCAGUAAUCAACAAUGGAAUGUGGGACCAGAUAAGGGUGGACCAUGGAAAAGAGUUUUUCUUGACUCUAUUUAUGCAAGAAAUUCUUGCUGACCACAGAAUGAAUACAGCAACACCACCAUAUCGUCAGACCACAUCAACAAAGAAUCACACAAUUGAGAGAAUUUGGCCUGAAAUAAACAACAGGGUUAAUUACCCUUUGAAGGAGGCUCUUGUUCAGCUGGUCGACCAAGAACUGAUUGAUAUGGACUGCAACCUAACAAGAUACUGUGUGUCUAACCUUGUCUGUCAGCUGUGUCAUCUGGGCAUUAGCAGGGUAGUAGAGGCAUGGAACAACCACAGGAUUCCUGGAAAAGGAAUCCCCAACCAGAUUGCACAGGGUGGUUGUGCAAAAAAAAUCUCAGCAGCACUACUGCCUCAUGGAACUGAAGCAGCUGAUCUGUACAUGAACACACUGGGAUCAUCUUUGACAAGGGUUUCGGCCUUUGGAACAGACCCUUUUACAAGUGAACAUGAGAAGGCUACAGUGGAACAACUGUUUUCAGAAAAGUGGCCAGACAUCACUUACUUGCUCAAUAAUACGGUCAACAAAAACUUUUUGCCUUUUAAAGAGGCUUUGGUCUGUUUAGUAAAUUUAACUCAAAGAUACUCUUAAAGAGCAUGCCUUCUAAUUGUUCAAUGCUGCUUUCCAUCAAGUGUUUUUUCUAGAAACAAAAUAUUACACACAAAUUUAAGCAUCAACAUGAUGCUGAUAAAUUAAAGUAUUUCUUUUUACUUCUUGUUUUAAGUAGUUGUGCAACAAAACUUUACACAACAACUGUCAAAUAAACUACUGAACUAAACUUGAAUUGCUGAACA